rnacentral:rRNA from 1 species
GAUGAACGCUAGCGGCAGGCCUAAUACAUGCAAGUCGGACGGGAUUCAGGAGCUUGCUUCUGAUGAGAGUGGCGCACGGGUGCGUAACACGUAUGUAACCUACCUUUAUCAGGGGGAUAGCCUCUCGAAAGAGAGAUUAAGCCCGCAUAAAAUCACAGCACAGCAUUGUGUAAUGAUCAAAUAUUUAUAGGAUAAAGAUGGGCAUGCGGAACAUUAGCUAGAUGGCGGGGUAACGGCCCACCAUGGCGACGAUGUUUAGGGGAUCUGAGAGGAUGGCCCCCCACACUGGUACUGAGACACGGACCAGACUCCUACGGGAGGCAGCAGUAAGGAAUAUUGGUCAAUGGGCGGAAGCCUGAACCAGCCAUGCCGCGUGCAGGAAGACGGCCCUACGGGUUGUAAACUGCUUUUAUACGGGAAUAAACCCAGAUACGUGUAUCUGGCUGAAUGUACUGUAAGAAUAAGGAUCGGCUAGCUCCGUG